UUUACAUGGCAAAGUAUAGUUGCCGGGAUUCAAACGUUUAAAAGGGGAUGUAUAUGGCGAGUUGGUACUGGAUCAAGAAUGGAUAUCUGGCAAGAUCCUUGGGUACCAUCUAGUGAAUCCAGGAAGGUAAUAACUCUCAUAGGAGGGACUAUGCUGAGUAAAGUGGAGGAGCUAAUAGACCGACAUUUGGGUAUGUGGGAUGAAGAACUCAUUCGUUCGGUCUUCUCUAUUGUAGAUGUAAACAGGAUACUACAAAUACCCCUACGGGUUGAGUUGGUUGAUGACUUUGAAGCGUGGAAUGGUACACGUUCCGGCACCUUUUCGUUUAAGUCAGCCUACCAUAUUGAAUUCAAA
rnacentral:rRNA from 1 species